rnacentral:lncRNA from 1 species
AUGUCCUCCAGACACAGUCAGUCGCGCGAAUCACUGUCGGUAUCGAGUCAUCGAGUCAGUCAGUCAGUCAGUCGAGCGAAUCAGUAUAACAAUUAGUAUCAGUACCGCAAUAUCGCGCAAACUCACAACGAAUAUCAUCAAGCGAGUUGCGAUUAACUUUGUAUUCUACAUUUUAAAAUAUCUGUAAAUAUAGUUAAUUGAAUUAACUCGUCUCCUUAUUGCUUUAACCAACAACACGUCUCACCGUCCACCACAAUCUGAAUAGUCCUGUUUGCGUACCGCAGACACGUUAUUUAAAUAAUAACAAUUGAAAUAAUUCUUCGGUGACGUCUGCUCGACAGUGUUCAAUUUACAUAGCAACAAAUCAGAUUCGCAUAGAGGAGGAGCAUCAGAAAUAGGAAUAGAAAAUCAGAAGUAGAUCUCAAUGAAAAAUCGAAGACGCAAUUGGCGAGGAAAAAAUCUAAGAUUGUGGGAAGAUCUACAAAAUCUGUGUAAACACAUGUCUCGUAAUUUAUACUACUCGUAUUAUAUACUAUUUGUAUAUAAUCUGGUCUGCAUCCCAAUGAAUAUUUUAAAAAAUUCCAAACGUUACUUAAUUAUAAUUAAUAUAAAUAUUGUAAUCAAAAUUAUAUUACUUCUGAGAUGAAUAAAGAUUGUUUCGAAUGA